GGGCUCAGGCAAUCGCUCUGCUUCUUAAUGGAGCAGAGAGGAAAGUCCAUGCUCACACAGCCUGAAAUGGCUGUAGUGUUCGUGCUUGACGAAACCAUAAGUCAAGGCAGUAUUGUAUACUGACGGCGAUUGGAACACCUACGUAUCCUCUGAGGGUAUAUGGUCGACCAUCUGAAAGUGCCACAGUGACGUAGUCUUCUCGGAAACGAGAAGAGUGGAACGAGGUAAACCCCGCGAGUGAGAAACCCAAAAAUAUGGUAGGGGCAUUUCUGUAACGGAAACGUUAGAAGAAGGCGGCUUUUAGCCGCAGAUAGAUGAUUGCCAUCGUCAUGUGAGGUGAAUAGCCGCAGCACGACGAUACAGAACAUGGCUUAUCGAG
rnacentral:RNase_P_RNA from 2 species